CUCCCUUGUCGUUCGCGCCUUCACGGCUCUCUAGAGGCUAUGUUCCAGUUCCUACAGAAAAACACACUCCGGAUCUUUUCAGAUUCAAGCCCCUCGAUUAUUCAUAUCGGUCUGCUCAUUUCUUCUAUCACCAUCGUUUGCAGGCCCGCUGCCUACUCGCGAGCACAUGACAGUUGUUUUCUGUGACAUCGACUGCUCUGUUUCUCCCGCCGUCCCCUCUGGCUUGAUCCUCCAACCACCACCAACCGCUUUAUCCCCCAGUCAAUGCCCUUUCAUCCAACAUCCACUCCGCGCUUGCCCAUGGCAGUUAAUGCCUACGUCCAUCCAUUAGGCCCUCUCUCCUCCGAACAUUUGCACUUCCCCUGUAUGCUCGUGCCUUUUUCGCAUCGCAUCCAUCCACCAGAUUGCUUGCAAUAUUUCACAGGGAAUGGUAUAUCAGUUCUUUUGCUGUUCUCUUCUUUGUUCUCCUUUUUCUUUUUCUUUUCGUCCCCAUUCUAUGCCUAAAAAGUGCUCUGCAAAUUGUCCCUGACAGUUUCUUUCCUACCGCCAAGCUCGCAGAACAUAGUACCUGGCAGCCUCUUGUUUAACGUAGGCGCUGUUUUACGCUCCAACUUACCUAUUGCUUCAAGUUAGAUAUUCAGUCUGUUUUAUUUUCAUCGUUUUUGCCUUUCUGCUUAAUGAUAUAUAUUUAGAUGAAAUUCUGAGAUCAACUGUGAUGUUGAUAAUUGGGGUUCAUUUUAAGAGAGGGAAAGUGCUUACCAUUGUGGUUGUGAAGGUAAAAGCUUGUUUAACUUUUGUAUGAAAGAGCAAGUGAAAUUAAUAUCACCUACUGGAUUGCUAAAGGAAUGCCAGGAGAUCAUAACUACGAAAUUUCCUUGGGGAACAAUUGAAUGUGGUUACUUUGUAAGUUCUUUUGAAACAUAUUCUCUAUCCCAUUUUCUUAGUUGUGUAAAGUUGAGAUUUUAUGACCUAUUUACUGACCUCAGACAUUUGAUCUUGCCUUGGGGAUUUCGAUCAUCCGAGAGUGUCAUAUUUGAACUAAGAGCAUCAUCAUGGAGUUCUUCUUCGAGGGAACGUUGGAGAUAGCUAGAAAACUCUCUUGCGGAGCAGAAUUUCUUAUGAUGAUCAAACCUGUGCUUUGCGCUUCACUCUCAGUUGCUCAUCAGUGAGCUUCUUUACCGCUGACAGACCUUCAGGGGGCUACUUGGGCAAGGUUAUUGAGAAUUACAUUUAUUCAGCAUCUCUUGUUGAUAUGCCAAUCUUAAUGUGCUCUAGAGCUUUAGCAGCGGUUCUACCAUGAGAAGUUGGAAAGCAUUAGAGGGUAAUUUGGUGCAACGGAAAUUAAGUUCGAAAUGUUGAAGCCCUUGUUUCUGCCGUGAAGUUGAAGCCCUUGUUGAUAACUUUUGCAGUGGAAGGGAAAGCUAAUGUUAAUAACUUAUUAUGUUUUAAAAUAGGUGGUCUUUGAUAGCGAGCUUAACUGUUUCUCAUUAUUGUUGCUAAAGAUGCUGUGUUAUAUAUAUAUAUAUAUAUAUAUAUAUUCAAGCAUUUGGCUCGUGGGGAUCUAAGGAUAAGGAGCUUAAUUAUCAGAUUUUCCCACUUAAAGGACAGAUUCGUAGUUGAUAGGAUAGAUGAGACUUUUCCCACUUGAUACAGUUUUCACAAGCGAUGGAAAUAGUGAACAGUUGUUGGUGGCUAGGCUACAAUAUCAAGCUUUCUUCAGUUUUGGCAAUAUGCCAUUUUAGGUUCCUACCACAUGUUUGAUGCAAGUCCUAAUGAACUUUGGGCUUCUGUUUUUUUUAUUUGCUGUCGUGA